rnacentral:rRNA from 1 species
GACGAACGCUGGCGGCGUGCUUAACACAUGCAAGUCGAACGGAAAGGCUCCAGCUUGCUGGCGUACUCGAGUGGCGAACGGGUGAGUAACACGUGGGUAAUCUGCCCUGCACUCUGGGAUAAGCCUGGGAAACUGGGUCUAAUACUGGAUAUGACCUUUCUCCUUAUGGGGUUUGGUGGAAAGUUUUUCGGUGUAGGAUGAGCCCGCGGCCUAUCAGCUUGUUGGUGGGGUGAUGGCCUACCAAGGCGACGACGGGUAGCCGGCCUGAGAGGGUGAUCGGCCACAUUGGGACUGAGAUACGGCCCAGACUCCUACGGGAGGCAGCAGUGGGGAAUAUUGCACAAUGGGCGGAGGCCUGAUGCAGCGACGCCGCGUGAGGGAUGACGGCCUUCGGGUUGUAAACCUCUUUCAGCAGGGACGAAGCGUAAGUGACGGUACCUGCAGAAGAAGCACCGGCUAACUAUGUG